AAAUUACUCCCUCCGUCCCAAAAUUCUUGUCUUAGAUUUGUCUAGAUACGGAUGUAUCAAGUCACAUUUUAGUAUUAGAUACAUCCGUAUCUAGACAAAUUUAAGACAAGAAAUUUGGGAUAGAGGGAGUAGUUG
rnacentral:pre_miRNA from 1 species